CCCUACAAACGUCAAGGAAUUAGUAUCAAUGUGCUUUGUCCAGAAAGAUGGGCCUACAGGCCGGUUCCAAGUUGAUUGAUUUAUCUAGGGUCUUUGUCCUUCCGGAAAUGGUUGUGAAAGGUGCUUUUGAGCUUAUAAGUGAUGAGAGUAAAGCUGGUUGAGGUAUGGAAUAUUGGCCAACCCCCAUGUAAGAAAAAACGAUAUAUGGUGAGACCUUCAAGAUCGGGGAAAAGAACUACAACAAAAGCUCCAUUCCAAACUCUUUUGAAUCUUCAGCUCCCACAUAGCUAAAAGAAGUUGUUGAAUAUGAAGCAUGUCAUCUACUAAGACUUAGUGUGCUGGUGUAAACGCAAGUGAGGUGAAUUUCAGCUCAGGGCGCUGUUUCUCUGGAUCUGACAAACCCCAGCUUCCAUUUGAUGCUGGGUUUGAGGCCGUUGGGAUAAUUGCAGCAGUAGAGAACUCUGUCACUAACUUGGAAAUUGGUACUCCUGCUGGAAUUAUGACUUUUAGGAGUUAUGCCAAAUUUACUGGCCGGUGGAGAAAUGGAAUCUGGAAAAGUAGUUCUUGUUACUUCUGCUGCUGGAGGGACCGAGCUAUUUGCAAUCCAGUUGAAAGUGAUGAGAAAAUGAAGUGGCCUGGUCAAAUGGGAUCUUACUGCAGGCUUUGAAAGAAGUUUCCUGAUUUUUGCUUGAUGGACUCGAUCUUGCACAGGUCAGUCAGCACCUCAAAUUCACCACCACAAGAUGGAUUGAUAUAUGCUGUGGUGGGUUUCAAAUGGCCCAAGCCCCUCAAUUUGAGUACACAAGUAACACUAUGAUCUGCCACAGAAACGGUUUGCCAUUUGAUAGG